UAUGCGCCUUGCCAGCCCGCUCAGGUGUGCCAGCCGCCGCGGUAAUACGUAGGUGGCAAGCGUUGUCCGGAUUUACUGGGUGUAAAGGGCGUGUAGCCGGGCUGACAAGUCAGAUGUGAAAUCCGGGGCUCAACCCCCGAACUGCAUUUGAAACUGUUGGUCUUGAGUAUCGGAGAGGCAGGCGGAAUUCCUAGUGUAGCGGUGAAAUGCGUAGAUAUUAGGAGGAACACCAGUGGCGAAGGCGGCCUGCUGGACGACAACUGACGGUGAGGCGCGAAAGCGUGGGGAGCAAACAGG
rnacentral:rRNA from 1 species